rnacentral:rRNA from 1 species
UACAAUGGAUGGGACAAUGGGUCCUUCCCCUUGAAAAGGGNUGGUAAUCUCACAAACCCAUUCGUAGUUCGGAUCGAGGGCUGUAACUCGCCCUCGUGAAGCUGGAAUCCGUAGUAAUCGCGUUUCAAUAUAGCGCGGUGAAUACGUCCCUGCUCCUUGCACACACCGCCCGUCAAACCACCCGAGUGAGGUAUGGGUGAGGGCACGGACUUCGUGCCGUGUUCGAACCUGUGCUUUGCAAGGGGGGUUAAGUCGUAACAAGGUA